UUGACAUCCAGCGAACUUGGCAGAGAUGCCUUGGUGCCUUCGGGAACGCUGAGACAGGUGCUGCAUGGCUGUCGUCAGCUCGUGUUGUGAAAUGUUGGGUUAAGUCCGCAACGAGCGCAACCCUUAUCCUUUGUUGCCAGCGAUUCGGUCGGGAACUCAAAGGAGACUGCCGGUGAUAAACCGGAGGAAGGUGGGGAUAACGUCAAGUCAUCAUGGCCCUUACGAGUAGGGCUACACACGUGCUACAAUGGCGCAUACAAAGAGAAGCGACCUCGCGAGAGCAAGCGGACCUCAUAAAGUGCGUCGUAGUCCGGAUCGGAGUCUGCAACUCGACUCCGUGAAGUCGGAAUCGCUAGUAAUCGUGGAUCAGAAUGCCACGGUGAAUACGUUCCCGGGCCUUGUACACACCGCCCGUCACACCAUGGGAGUGGGUUGCAAAAGAAGUAGGUAGCUUAACCUUCGGGAGGGCGCUUACCACUUUGUGAUUCAUGACUGGGGUGAAGUCGUAACAAGGUAAGCGUAGCGAG
rnacentral:rRNA from 1 species